AUGGGGGCUCCACCCAAGAAAGCCAAGGCACAGACCAAUGAAAGACAGCUAGUUGUCUUGGGGUACCACCCUCUCCAGGGGACACGAAAUAGGAACCUGUUGAGGGGUUUUAAAGGGCAAGGCUACCCCGAGAUUUCCUCUCGUUCCCGCGAGAUCAUCGACCAUCGGACUGGCUCGUGGGCUGGGCGAGGAGACUACCAUUCCCGAGGUGCGCCGGGGCUAGGCCCGCUCGCCGCCUUCUAUCCUCGCCGCGGCCGACUGUCAACAACUUUAUUUACAAACUUGACGGACAAAAUCCAAGCGCUGGGGCUCCCUCUGGUGGCUGACUCUCAACCUCUUUUAUUCCUUAAAGCGAGGAUGGGGGCGUUGGCUCCGUUCUGGAUGGUCCGCAAAGAGGGGACUGCCCGUAGCUGGGGAGGAGGGGCAACCUGGAGAACGCGCUGUUACGGAAGUGGUCAGAAGGAGCGAACCGAGACCCCAGUGAAAAAUGCCCCUAAUCAUUAAUAAUGAAAGAACUGCCAAUGAAAACAACUGUGUGCUUCCAUCUUAUGUCAGUCAGAUUGGCGAAGAUGACAAGACAAAAUGGCGAUUGUUGGAGACAUCGGGGAAGGGAGGCGUGCUAAUACAUUGUUGGUGGAGCUGUGGAUCAGUAUGGCAGUUUGGAAUCCAAUUUUACCCCCUAGUCCCCAAGUCACUGAUUGUGUGUACCCCAAAGACCAGAAGGACAGGACUAAAAUAUACAAAACCAUAGCAACAACUUUAGCAAAAAAACAAAACCAAAAACAUAUGUAUAUGGAAUGGUUGAACAAAUUGUGGCAUAUUAAUGUGAUGGGAAUUAUUGUUAAAAGAAAUAAGGAAUAUGGGAGAUUAAGAGGAAUUUGAGAAGACUCUUGUGAACUGAGACCCAGUGAAAUGAACAGAACCAGGAAAACAAUGGUAAUGUAAAGAGAAAAAAAAAAAGGACCUUUAAAAGACUUCAGAACUCUGGUCUGCCACUGACUAAUUAGUUCUGAUUUAGGGGACUGUGUGGGAUGCCACUCAAAUUAAAAAACACACUUAGAGUUUUUUCAAGGAGAAACAGAAAGUUAAUUUAUUUACUAUUCAAGAGAAUAGGGUGUCACUCCACCAGAAUGCUCUGAUGAGGGGAGACAGACUACAGAUGCAGAAGAACCAGAUUAAAGAGCCCUAAUGGGCAAAUCCCCCCUCCCACCAACUGGCCAAUGUUUUGGCUCACAAUCUGUGGAAACAGAAAACAAAACAAAGAGAACAGUAUACAUGUCUCUAUUUAGCCCCUUAGUUUGCUGAAGUAAUCCCAGAGAAGCAAUUAAAGAUGUGCAGUCAAGCUAGACAUGGUACUGUACAGCCAGGUCACCGUGACGGAAAUAUAGCAACAGGUACAACAAGAUGGGGGGGGGGCUUCUUCAGGAGUUUCAGGCUCGGCAAACUUUAACUACUGAUAUAACAAUGGCAUAGGAAGGGGGGGUACUUGGGGUUGGAUUCCCGUGACUCAGGUGAUUUCUAGUAAACCGAAACUUAGGCAUGUUGGACUUCUAUGCCUGCCUUGAGUCACCAUACAAUUUCUAUUUAUUCUUCUAAAAAGUCUUCACAGGACCCCUCAUCCCACUUAAUUACACCGAGGAGUCUUCACUGGGACACCCCAUCGAGGACUGACCGUGAAGCCUGACUCCCUCCACAUGAGCAAGGGGUGGAUGUCACCUGUUCAUGUCCAACUACGGUCAAUGGGUUUAUUCGUUUUCCUUGUUUAUUAUAAGGGGGAGGGAGCUUCUUUCCUGGUGGCAAGAUAAGUUAGUGGAUAAUGACAGCACCAAGUAUUGAUAAAACACCAACAAUGUGCAGAGGAAAGUGAAAAAUCCAGGAGACACAAAGAGGGCGAUUUUGUUACCACUUUGUUACAUUUGAUGUCGUUUAGCGGGGUUUUUUUGGCGAAGAUACUGGAAUGGUUUGCCAUUUCCUUCUCCAAUGUGUUCCCAUUUUACAGAUGAGGAACUGAGGCAAAGAGGAGUUAAGUAACUUGCCCAGGGCUGGAACAGCUGGAUUUGAAUGCAGAUCUUCCAGAUGCCAGGCCCACUGCUCUACCACUGAACCACCUAGCUACAUUUGCUAUAUACUUACAAAGCAAACAAAUGCCAAACUGCUAACUGAACUGCAUUUUCAUAUACCCUCCUCUUUAAGAGGGGGUUCUUUGUGCACUGGAAUGUUAGUGUUCAUUGAUGACUAAGUUCAUAAUUUUAAAAAAGACAUUAAUUCAGAGCCUAUGAUGUUCCGGGGACUUCAACAGACGCUGGAAAUAUCAGUGGAGACAAAAAGAAAGACAAAAAGGAAAUACAGCACUUGCCCUCUAGGACCUUCCAUUCUGGGAGGAGGGGAGGUGGAACAGCACAAACACUGGGAAUGCCAAAUACAUGCUAAUAAAUCCCAAAGACCAAAGGCCUCGACGGACCUG
rnacentral:lncRNA from 1 species